rnacentral:rRNA from 1 species
GGCCUCGAGGGCUCGAAUACAAGAGCUUGAUCAUAGAUGAGACAGCGGAAGCAACAAUAUCUAAGUACAGACAUAAGUUAAACAAGUUUGCCUUAAGAAGGCUUGCACAAACUGGGGAUACAGAUCGAAAGAGGCGUAGGCCUCCUGCCUGGAUCCUCCUAAACUACUCCUGGUCGUCGUCAGCGGUCUGCAUGUAGUAGUAGGCACCUCUAAUGUAGUAGGAGUCGUCGUCGAUGGUGGCGUCUGUCUCCUGGACUCCAUCGCCUCGUCGCAACAACCGGGUAUAGAAAGGGAAAGGGGGGAGCAAAGCAACCGUGAGUACUCAUCCAAAGUACUCGCAAGCAAGGAGCUACACUACAUAUGUAUGCAUUGGUAUCAAAUGGAAAAGGGAUAGCAUAUGUGGACUGAACUGCAGAAUGCCGAAAUAAGGGGGAUAACUAGUCCUAUCGAAGACUACGCUUCUGGCAGCCUCCAUCUUGAAGCAGUAGAAGAGAGUAGAUGGUAAGUUCACCAAGUGUCAUCGCAUAGCAUAAUCCUACCCGGCGAUCCUCUUCUCGUCGCCCUGUCAGAGAGCGAUCACUGGGUUGUAUCUGACACUUGGAAGGGUGUAUUUUAUUAAGUAUCCGGUUCUAGUUGUCAUAAGGUCAAGGUACAACUCCGGGUCGUCCUUUUACUGAGGGACACAGCUAUUUGAAUAGAUAAACUUUCCUGUAGGGGUGCACCACAUUUCCCAACACUCUCGAUCCUCUUUGGCCGAACACACUUUUCUGGGUCAUGCCCAGUCUCGGAAGAUCAACACGUCGCAGCCCUACCUAGGCACAACAGAGAGGUCAGCACACCGGUCUAAAUCCUAUGGCGUAGGGGUCUGGGCCCAUCGCCCAUUGCACACCUGCACAUUGCGAGGACGGCCGGAAACAGACCUAGCCUCCUAAUACAAGAGCACGCGUUCCAGUUCAAUCCGGCGCGCGCCGCUCAGUCGCUGGCGUCACGAAGGCUUCAGCUGAUACCACGGCGUCGAGUGCCCAUAACUGUUCCCGCGUAGUUGGUUAGUGCGUAUAGGCCGGUGGCCAGACUCAGAUCAAAUACCAAGAUCUCGUUAAGCGUGUUAUUUUGAAGUAACCGCGAACACCGACCAGGGCCAGGCCCACCUCUGUCCUAGGUGGUCUCAACCUGCCCUGUCGCUCCGUCACAAGUAACAGUCGGGGGCCGCCGGGAACCCAGGCCCACCACUACAUGGGUGGAACCACCUACCCCUUCAGCCCCCAUCUCGAAAUCACUUGCUGUUACUCUACGAGCCGACCCGAGUUUAGUCACCACAUGUAUCACAUAUUAUGUAUAUAAGUAUAUACCUGUGAUCACCUCCCAAGUGAUCACGGCCCGAUGAUAUAGCAUGGCAGGCGGACAAGAAUAUAGGGCCAUUGAUGGAAUACUAGCAUCCUAUACUAAACAUUUAGGAUUGCAGAUAAAGGUAACAACAGUAGUAGCAAGGACAGGCUAUGCAUCAGAAUAGGAUUAACGGAAAGCAGUAACAUGCAACACUACUCUAAUGCAAGUAAUAGAGAGAAGAAUAGGCUAUAUCUGGUAUCAAGGGGGGGCUUGCCUAGUUGCUCUGGCAAGGAGUCGUCGUCGAUGUAGUCGAUCAGUGGGGUAUCGACAGCGAUCUCGGAGUCUAUCAGAAAGAAGUAACAGAGGGGAACACAAUAAAUAAUAAAGCAAUCAAAGCAUCACAAAGCAUAACAUGGCAAUACACGGUGCUAGGGUGACCUAACAUAGUAGUAGGCAAUACCGGUGAAGGGGGAAAACAUCUGGGAAAGUAUUCCCGGUGUUUCACAUUUUCGGACAAACGGACUGAAGGGGGAUGAUGAGGACAUCAAUACCAUUAUUACACCCACAGCCCCCACUGUUACAUAUACUGGACCAAUUACUAGAGCUCGCGCACGCCAAUUAAAUUACCAGGUACUUUCGUUUCUUGGUAAUGAUUCUAAUGUUCAUGAGAUUAUGAUGUUGCCUAAAUUGGAUACAUUUGUUUUGCUUACAAAUGAAGGGCCUAGCUUGGAGAAGGAUGAACAUUGAAGCAAGAACACGCAUGGAGUUGAUGGCAUGCGCAAGGGGAUCAAGAACAGAGUUACAAGUGAUGAUUUCAGGACUUUGAAGCCGCCAUAAGAAGUGCAUGAAGCCUUGGACAAAAUAUACAAGAUGCCACUUCAUAAUAUUCGUUCAUAAGCUAUUCUAGGUGUUGCGUCACCUUAUUAAUGAGCCAGGCCCAUGUAAUUUCGAAAUACUUAAGUAUAGGCUACUUUAGAGUCCGUAUGUGUGGGAAAACAAGAGUUAGGGUUGGUUUCGGACCCCACCCUCAAGGGCCACGAAAUUCCCCCCUCUUCCUCCAUAUAUACAGCCCUUAGGGCGUCGUUUAGACUAUGGGUUUUGUUUAGAUUAAAAGUUCGCCAUAGCUGUAACUUCGCGUACUUCGUUUGUGUCCAACGACCAGACCAAGACGUCACAGAACCCCACCUUGAUCAAUAAAGCUUUCAUCUUAUAUUCGCAAUAUCCCGAUUGCAAUCUCAAUUUCUUGCUUGUUCUUCGUUUGCUCGCAGGAAACAGACCCUCGUGGUCAGGUUGAUCGUGCUCCGGCGUGGUCAAUAACCCUCGAAAGUUGGUUUAGCGAUUGCUAAGGCGCGACGUCUCGCACGUUCGUAGUCGGAUCGUCAAGGUCGACUCCCACAGAAAACGAUAGCCACCAUCUCAUCGAAACAUCGGGACACCUUAGCUUCUAUCAGGAAUGUUGCAAGUUUGCUAUGCUAGGGACGUGUGGUGAACGAACGCACAACGUAUCCGAAUUCGUUGGAUUUUUCUGAGCAAAUUUCAUAUAUAAAUUAUUUUUAUUCAAGUUACGGUUUAUUUUAUAUGAUUUUUCAAAGAUUAAAUGAUUUUAUGAAAAAAAAAUUAUUUCAAAAAUAAAUGACUAGAAGCUAAGUGUACCCAGGGUGUGUACACUACCAGUGUGGCUGUUUGAUUGCCAGGUGGGGCCAGAGUCAAAGUCAACAGCCCAGUCAGAGUUGACUAGUCAAAGUCAACAGUUCCAACGGGACCCAACUAUCAUAGAUAGUAGGUAAUUUGAUUUUUGUUUAAUCUCUAGGGUACCCACAUGUCAGUGUCACAUGUGCUAAUAAAAUUAGCUAGACUAAAUUAAUCUAGAAGGGGCCACAUGUCAUCUACACAUCUCAUUAACUAAACAAAUAAACUAACCUAAUAUAUUCCUAGACUAAUCUUAAUAGGGCCGGCCUCCUGGACAUAGGCAGCGAGGCAAUAGCUGCAGCCGCAAACACCAUGGGCGGCAGCACCGAUUAGCAGCCUCAGCUAGCAAGCAGGCACCAUCAGCGAUUAGCGGCAAUAGCGAUUAGCAGCAGCAGCUUGCAAGCAACGCAGUAGAACCAGCAGCACAGCAGAGCAACUCGCGCCAAGAGCAUCGACAGAACGCAUGCAGGGAGGCGAGAGGCGACGGGACAACAAGGACGGGUGGUGCGGCAGCUCGCAUAGGCGAGCGUCGGCGUGGCGCGAGACCAAGGCGCGCGGGACGCGGGCACGUACGGCCAAGGCACGGCCUAGACGAGGAAAGUGCGCAGGCAGGGCUCGCGGACGCUGAGCUUCGGCGGUCCGGCCACUACAGCCGAAGUGCGGGGCGGCAGCUAAACGACAAUGGAACGGGAAGGGUAAGGGGGGAUCCAGAGGAGGAGCUCACGUUGAGGCCGUGGGAGAGCUUGAGGAGGUCGGGGAUAGCCCGGAGCAGCGACAUCUGGCGACGGACGACGGUUUACGCGAAGACGACGGCGGCGAUGGCGGGCGAACGGGGCCUCCUAGCUCGAUCCCUUUGUCGAGGGUGAAGAAUACGACGACGAUGGAGCUCCAGGACGUAUUCUCAAGCGCCGGGGAGGUCGUCGUGGUGAAGAUCGACGACGACGAGGCAGUGGCGACCGAGGCGGGGUCGCGUCAUGGCCGGCGACGGGCGCGUCGGCUGCUCGGCGUGGGGGGCGGAUCUGAGGAGGGGGGAGGCUCAGAGGGCG